GUGGGGAAUUUUGGACAAUGGGCGCAAGCCUGAUCCAGCAAUGCCGCGUGCAGGAAGAAGGCGCUACGCGUUGUAAACUGCUUUUAACCGGGAAGAAACCCCAGGACGUGUCCUGGGUUGACGGUACCGGAGGAAUAAGCACCGGCUAACUACGUGCCAGCAGCCGCGGUAAUACGUAGGGUGCGAGCGUUAAUCGGAAUUACUGGGCGUAAAGCGUGCGCAGGCGGUUUUGUAAGAUCGAUGUGAAAUCCCCGGGCUCAACCUGGGAACUGCAUUGGUGACUGCAAGGCUGGAGUGCGGCAGAGGGGGAUGGAAUUCCGCGUGUAGCAGUGAAAUGCGUAGAUAUGCGGAGGGACACCGAUGGCGAAGGCAAUCCCCUGGGCCUGCACUGACGCUCAUGCACGAAAGCGUGGGGAGCAAACAGGAUUAGAUACCCGGGUAGUCC
rnacentral:rRNA from 1 species